UUCCUCUUAAAAGGUUUACAAGAGGAUUAAGAGGAAAUGGAAGAGGUUUAAUCCCCUUCUAAACCUCUCAAUCCUCCUCUAAAUUCCUCUUCCAUUUCCUCUUAAAAGGUUUACAAGAGGAUUAAGAGGAAAUGGAAGAGGAUUAAGAGGUUUAGAAGAGGACUAACAGUGACGCCGUUUCACACCCGUCAGAUGCCAACAUCAGCGUCGCCGGAGUGAAGGGGUUAAGUUAAGCAUGUAUAUUGGUGUAUGUUAACAGAGGGUGACAAAACACUACAGCUUCCCCCCUUGUGGCUUUAUUACAACAAUACAUAAUCAUCUCACUUCAUCAACAACAAUGGCACUCACAACCCACAUAACAACCAACGUCAAGUGCUCGCAUAAAUAUAAUUCAUUUUUACACCGUUAUAAAACUUAAGUUAUGGUAGAAUUUCAUCUCGACACUUCGCCCACUGUUCCGACAUGCAAUACCAACUAAGCCAUGAAUAAUAGAAUACCUGAGAAUGUCUACAGGUGGAAAUCAAAGUCCUAGGUUAGUGUACCAUCGACUACUCUACUGCAGGUACUUGUCAACCGGCCUCUUGCAGACUCCUUACGUUCUUAUGUUCCCGAAGGUGUUAAGCCCAUAUCAUUAAACCUAUCGGCACCUCAGUUAACCCGUUGGAAAAGCCUGUCGUAGAAGAUGCCGAGUUUCGUGGAAGUUUCGUCGUGGAAGAUGCUGAAUGGGAGCGGCCUCUUUUUGUUGCCCUUGAGCCGCAUCCUUUGAUAUAAAAAAAAGUUCUGUGAUCCUAGUGACAGUUUUACAUGACUCCUGCGCUGUGAACGGGAAAACUCGACUAAGAAAAUCCAGUUAAUCUUCUCUGGGGCCUUGGGAAAUUGUCAUGGUAGGAGCUUAACCCUUAGACGACAGCAGUGUUUAAAGAGUAGCUCCCCACAAAAAUGACCUUAGUAUCGUAGCAUAAACAUAGAAGGGAAGGGAAGGGAAGGAAAGGAAAGGAUGAGAAGGGGAGGGGAGGGGAGGGAAGGGAAGGAGAAGAGAAGGAAGGGGAUGCAUAGUUACGCCGCAUAAUGGAUGUUUUAACUAUCAUCUAUAUAUUCUAUCGCAAUCUGGAAGUGUUGUUAUAUUACUGCCACACAAAACUGACUGAAAUUUGGACCAUCUACAUAUAGUUCCACCACCGUUUAAGGGGUUAAUACAUUUCUUAGACUCCCCAUAACCCGGUAGCUGCGGGGAUCAUGUUUCUUAAUGGUCCCUCUAAGCGAGAAAAAUGAGAAAAAAAUCAUCACUCACGCAAACCAUUUCAUAAUAUAUAUCAACGCAUUUGUGAUCAGUUUCGGCAUCAUCUAUUUUUGGGGUUUAUAUCAUGGCACACAUUUGGCCCGUCGCUGCUACCGGGUUAGAGGUACUCCCGGCUACUGAGGGGAAUGGUUUACCUGUUAGUGUCUACCGGAUAGUUUCUAAACACUGUGGGUAAAGUUAAAUACGAGUAUAUGACUGGGUGGGGUUUGCAAUUACGGCACUGCAUCAACCGUGGUCAUACAGCAUCAAAGAGGAGAAUGGUUUCCUUGUGUCUACCAGAUGCUUUCUAAACACUGUGGGUAAAGUAAGUACAUGGCUGGGUGGGGUUUGCAAUUACGGCACUGCAUCAACCGUGGUCAUAUGGCAUCAAAGAGGAGAAUGGUUUGCUUGUUAGUGUCUACCGGAUACUCUCCAUACACUGCGGAUGAAGUUCAUUGAUUGGGGCUGCAACUACUGUGAUCAUAUGGCACCAAACACUCCUGUGGCAAUAGUACAUCCAUGACAAUAAAAUGGUGUGGAUUAGGAUGCCCUGACUCUCUCUCUCUCUCUCUCUCUCUCUCUCUCUCUCUCUCUCUCUCUCA